rnacentral:rRNA from 1 species
UACGUAGGGGGCUAGCGUUGUCCGGAAUCAUUGGGCGUAAAGAGCGUGUAGGCGGCCCGGUAAGUCCGCUGUGAAAGUCGGGGGCUCAACCCUCGGAUGCCGGUGGAUACUGUCGGGCUCGAGUACGGAAGAGGCGAGUGGAAUUCCUGGUGUAGCGGUGAAAUGCGCAGAUAUCAGGAGGAACACCUAUUGCGAAGGCAGCUCGCUGGGACGGUACUGACGCUGAGGCGCGAAAGCGUGGGGAGCGAACAGG